rnacentral:rRNA from 1 species
ACGUAGGCAGCAAGCGUUGUUCGGAAUUACUGGGCGUAAAGAGUGCGUAGGUGGUUGGUUAAGUUUGGUGUGAAAUCUCCCGGCUCAACUGGGAGGGUGCGCCGAAAACUGGCUGGCUAGAGUGUGGGAGAGGGAAGCGGAAUUCCUGGUGUAGCGGUGAAAUGCGUAGAUAUCAGGAGGAACGCCUGCGGUGUAGACGGCUUCCUGGACCAUGACUGACACUGAGGCACGAAAGCGUGGGUAGCAAACAG